rnacentral:rRNA from 1 species
GACGAACGCUGGCGGCGUGCUUAACACAUGCAAGUCGAACGGAAAGGCCCUGCGUUUGUGGGGUGCUCGUGUGGCGAACGGGUGAGUAACACGUGAGUAACCUGCCCUUGACUUUGGGAUAACUUCAGGAAACUGGGGCUCAUACAGGAUAGGAGCUCCUGCUGCACGGUGGUGGUUGGAAAGUUUCGGCGGUUGGGGCUGGACUCGCGGCUUAUCAGCUUGUUGGUGUGGUAGUGGCCUACCAAGGCUUUGAGGGGUAGCCGGCCUGAGAGGGUGACCGGCCUCAUUGGGACUGAGAUACGGAGCAGACGGCUACGGGAGGCAGCAGUGGGGAAUAUUGCGGAACAGGGGGAAGCCAGAUGCAGCAGCGCCGCGUGCGGGAUGCCGGCCUUCGGGUGGUAAACAGCUGUCGCCUUUGACAAGGCGGGAGUGACGGUAAUGGGUAAAGAAGCACCGGCUAACUACGUG